UACUUUACAUGAUAAAUGAUGCAAAUCUAAUUUUGAAAAAACAGCCUUUAGAGCCGUUCCCGAGCCAACAAGAAGUCAUCCUUCGGAUGCAAAACCAUACUACGUCAACCAGGCGGAGCUCUUCAUUCCAGUAAAUGCUGGCAAAAAACGGAAAAAACUAAAACAAAAUGUGUAUAAAAAUCCAAUAUAUGGAGACUGAAGUGAGACAGUGACAGCAGAAUAAUACAUGUUUCAAUCAGCAUAACAAAAUUGUUCAUUAUAAACAGUUCAAUAUCUCAAUAAAUUCUGAUGUUUAAUGA